UACGGAGGAUCCAAGCGUUAUCCGGAAUCAUUGGGUUUAAAGGGUCCGUAGGCGGUUUAAUAAGUCAGUGGUGAAAGCCCAUCGCUCAACGGUGGAACGGCCAUUGAUACUGUUAAACUUGAAUUAUUAGGAAGUAACUAGAAUAUGUAGUGUAGCGGUGAAAUGCUUAGAGAUUACAUGGAAUACCAAUUGCGAAGGCAGGUUGCUACCAAUUGAUUGACGCUGAUGGACGAAAGCGUGGGUAGCGAACAGG
rnacentral:rRNA from 1 species